rnacentral:rRNA from 1 species
GAUUAUGGCUCAGGACGAACGCUGGCGGCGUGCUUCAUACAUGCAAGUCGAACGAUAAGGCACCUUCGGGUGUACAUAAGUGGCGGACGGGUGAGUAAUGUGUAGAGAAUCUGCCCUUAAGCGGGGGACAACAGCUGGAAACGGUUGCUAAUACCCCAUAUGAGCGUAGCUGAAAUGCUAUUCUUGAAAACUCCGGUGCUUAAGGAUGAGUCUGCAUCUGAUUAGCUAGUUGGGGGUGUAAUGGACCACCAAGGCGACGAUCAGUAGCUGGUUUGAGAGGAUGAUCAGCCACAAUGGGACUGAGACACGGCCCAUACUCCUACGGGAGGCAGCAGUAGGGAAUUUUGCGCAAUGGGCGAAAGCCUGACGCAGCAACGCCGCGUGACUGAAGAAGCCCUUCGGGGUGUAAAGGUCUGUCACAGGGGACGAAAAUGACGGUACCCUGAGAGGAAGCAUCGGCUAACUCCGUGCCAGCCGCCGC